UAUUUUUAUACGACCGCAAAAUUUGAAAAAAAUUUCGUCGUAUAUUGCUAUCAAGUUGGCGUCGUCGUCUGCGUCGUCGUCGUCGUCGUCGUCGUCCGAAUACUUUUAGUUUUCGCACUCUAACUUUAGUAAAAGUGAAUAGAAAUCUAUGAAAUUUUAACACAAGGUUAUGACCACAAAAGGAAGGUUGGUAUUGAUUUUGGGAGUUUUGGUCCCAUCAUUUUAGGAAUUAGGGGCCAAAAAGGGCCCAAAUAAGCAUUUUCUUGGUUUUCGCACUAUAACUUUAGUUUAAGUUAAUAGAAAUCUAGAAAUUU
rnacentral:lncRNA from 1 species